rnacentral:rRNA from 1 species
UACGAGUGGUGCAAGCGUUAUUCGGAAUCAUUGGGCGUAAAGGGUGUGUAGACGGCAUGCCAAGUCAACUGUUUAAUUCUCCGGCCUAACCGGAGGCUAGCGGUAGAAACUAGUGUGCUUGAGGGUGGAAGAGAGAAGUGGAAUUCUCGGAGUAGCGGUAAAAUGCGUAGAUCUCGAGAGGAACACCAAUGGCGAAGGCAGCUUCUUGGUCCAUACCUGACGUUGAAACACGAAAGCGUGGGGAGCAAACAGG